rnacentral:lncRNA from 1 species
AUGCAAGCCGACAGGAUGACGCUGAUGUUGACGUCAAUGUCCACGAUGACGCUGAUGGUCGCUCCUGUCCAACCCCACCCGAAAAAAAAGGAGAGUCCAGCCGAGGUACGAUGGGGAGCAGACACGCGCUGGAGGCUUCCUGAAUCUAUAGUAUGUACAUAUAUCUACGUCACGGAAUAUCCAGCCACAAAGUGAAUCGAUUGAAACGCGUGAUAUGGUGGAAGCGGUGGCGGCGACGGCGGCAGCUACCGCUGCCAAGUGACCUUGCAACCACCGUGAGCGGCCAUCUUGGAUCGAAGGGUAUCCUCAAAGUCACGCGCCUUGCCCUCAAUUCCCAUGCACAACUUUUCAUCAAACAGACAUGGGGCCCGGCCUGGCCACACACAGAUCCUUUGGGGAUUCUCUAUUUCUUGUUGGCCCAGCUUUAUAUAUUAUCCAAUAGUACAAUAAUCCGAGAGUGGGAAGAAAAGAAAAGAAGAUAAAAUAAGACGCUGGCCGAUUUGAUGAUUGAGUUAGACGACACGGUUCAACGGCUACUACCCGCUCACGCCGGUGAUUUUGUAUUGAACACAGACGCCCGAGUGUAUUAUAGAAUAGACGCGCGUGGGAAGCUACUGUAUAGUUUCCCCUUUCAUUGGAUAAUUGGACUUUCGGUGCGGCUAAAGUGGCGGCCGACCAGAAGACUUCGCCGCAAAGUGCCGGAAUGAAGAGCAUGCCGCCCAUCCGCUCACCGAAGGCGUCCUGGAAAGGAUCGAGCAUGGUGACGUAGCCCUGCUCUCUCAUCUUAUUGGCGAAGAGCAAUCCGCCGAAGACGAGGCUGAGGGCGUAACCGAACGGAGCCUGGCACCAAAUCAGUCCCUUGCCGUAGAUCUCCUCGGCCGUUCCGGAAAUAUUCACUGCUGGGACAAAACCCCCAAAAUUGUAUACCUGUCAUGGUGAAGAUGCCGACGAAUAGGCCGAUGUUACGGCCGGCCAGCAUGACCUCCUCCUCCGACUCGCCGCCAUUGCCUUUCUUCUUGGCCGCCCAGAUGCCCACGAACAAGAUGAGCAGAGAAUUAAAGAAACAAUGGCCAGUUAUUGACUAUAUAUUGUCCGUCAUAUAUAUCAUUGACGUCUUUUGUGGCCAGAAACCCCUGGAUACCCUGCAGUCCAGACUUAUAUAUAGAUCCUUUUGGCUAAUUUCUAUUAUCUUUCCCCUAUUCACACCUACCGGUUUCGUAUAGGUACGCACGUCAUUCCAACUUUCUUGCAACAUAUCCGAGAGAUAUUGAUUGGGAAGCCGUCGUUGGCAUAAAUAUCUCAAACUUUUUGACUUCAUGCACACCAGCUAGCGCUUCUACGGCUUCGUUUACUACUCUCUCCCAUCUUUUCGGAAAUUAUUAAUCCCCUCUUGACAAGGACCCCUGGUAGUAGUAGGAGUAGUAGUAAGAGUAUAGACACAGCUUACCUUGUUCGACCACCAGGUGAGAAUGGAUCACGCGAAGGGCAGGCGGUUGGCGAUGGAUCAUCAGGAGCGAAGCAACGUGUCGGACACAACAAUCGCCCCAGCGCA